rnacentral:rRNA from 1 species
GAACGCUGGCGGCAUGCCUUACACAUGCAAGUCGAACGGCAGCAUGAUCUAGCUUGCUAGAUUGAUGGCGAGUGGCGAACGGGUGAGUAAUACAUCGGAACGUGCCCUGUAGUGGGGGAUAACUAGUCGAAAGAUUAGCUAAUACCGCAUACGACCUGAGGGUGAAAGUGGGGGACCGCAAGGCCUCAUGCUAUAGGAGCGGCCGAUGUCUGAUUAGCUAGUUGGUGGGGUAAAGGCCCACCAAGGCNACGAUCAGUAGCUGGUCUGAGAGGACGAUCAGCCACACUGGGACUGAGACACGGCCCAGACUCCUACGGGAGGCAGCAGUGGGGAAUUUUGGACAAUGGGCGAAAGCCUG